AUUGAACGCUGGCGGCAUGCUUUACACAUGCAAGCCGAACGGCAGCGCGGGCUUCGGCCUGGCGGCGAGUGGCGAACGGGUGAGUAAUGCAUCGGAACGUGCCCAGUAGUGGGGGAUAGCCCGGCGAAAGCCGGAUUAAUACCGCAUACGACCUGAGGGUGAAAGCGGGGGACCGAAAGGCCUCGCGCUAUUGGAGCGGCCGAUGUCGGAUUAGCUAGUUGGUGGGGUAAAGGCUUACCAAGGCGACGAUCCGUAGCUGGUCUGGGAGGACGACCAGCCACACUGGGACUGAGACACGGCCCAGACUCCUACGGGAGGCAGCAGUGGGGAAUUUUGGACAAUGGGGGCAACCCUGAUCCAGCCAUGCCGCGUGCGGGAAGAAGGCCUUCGGGUUGUAAACCGCUUUUGUUCGGGAAGAAAUCCUCUGGGCUAAUACCCCGGGGGGAUGACGGUACCGGAAGAAUAAGCACCGGCUAACUACGUG
rnacentral:rRNA from 1 species